ACCCCUACAGGUUAAUUUUCGUGCAGGCCCUUAGGAUUUUGAAGCCGUGCUCCACUGCAAGCUCUGCCUCCCGGGUUCACACCAUUCUCCUGGCUCAGCCUCCUGAGUAGCUGGGACUACAGGCGCCCGCCACCACGCCCAGCUAAUUUUUUGUAUGUUUAGUAGAGACGGGGUUUCACCCUGUUAGCCAGGAUGGUCUCGAUCUCCUGACCUCCUGAUCCGCCCGCCUCGGCCUCCCAAAGUGCUGGGAUUACAGGCGUGAGCCACUGCGUCCAGGGAUAAAGUGAUUCUGUAACUUUGAUGGCUUUAUUCUCAACUCAGUAAUACCACUGGACCCUAUUUGGGUUCUUCUUCUCUAUGCUGCAGCCUGGAAACUUCCUCUAGUCAGUUACCCUGGAAUCUGCGGUACUCAUUUUGUUUCUUCAUUGCCUGCAGGCCAAUGUCUGAAAGAAAGACAGUGUUCCAUAUAUGUAUGGAACAUUAGAUAUCUUUUUCUCUCUCUCUGUAUCAUAUAUCUCUCUAUCUCUAUCUGUAUAUAGUUUUCUCUUGUUUCUGAUCAAAGGGCAACUUCGAUAGCAGUUACUCUUUCAUACAUGGGGUCAGAGGUCCACUUAUUGAAUAUUUUUGAUUUCUAACUAAUUGGAAAAAUAUAAAAAUUCAGAAAGCUAAUUUGCAAAAUGGUUCAAUAUUACUAUAGAUGUUCAAACAUUCCUAAAGUAUGGUUGAUAAGGGGAAGCUAAGAGAGAAAUUUUGAACUGUCUUGCUGAAGUUUCUUUUUUCUUUCUUUCUUUUUUAGGUGGAGUUUUGCUCUUGUUGCUCAGGCUGGAGUGCAAUGGCGCGAUCUCGGCUCUCUGCAUCCUCCGCCUCCCGGGUUCAAGCGAUUCUCUUGCCUCGGCCUCCCGAGAAGCUGGGAUUACGGGCAUAUGCCACCACGCCUGGCUAAUUUUGUAUUUUUAGUAGAGACCGGGUUUCUCCAAGUUGGUCAGGCUGGUCUCACACUCCCAACCCCAGGUGAUCCGCCCGCCUCGGCCUCCGAAAGUGCUGGGAUUACAGGCAUGAGCCACUGUGCCCGGCCUGAAGUUUCUUUUUUGUUUUUUAACUGUCCUCACCUGUCACAUAUCUAAAACAGUGUAUUUUAUUUACUCUAUGUUUAUGUAAAGAGUUUUAAAAUUUUGACAGUAGCUUAGAUUUUCAUUGGUAGAAUAUCAAGCUUGUUUAGGUUUUUAAGAGUUAUUAAAUGUCAUUAACUUCAUAAUUAAAUCUUAAGCUAUUUAUAAAAAUUGUGUGCUCCAUACGUAAUGCUAAGUACAUUCCUGCUCUAUAAGAUGUUCCACCGAACUUUAGAUUUGUAUAUCAAUGCAAAACCAAAUGAUUUUAUUAUCAGUGUUACACUUUUACCAAAAUUUAUAACAAAUAGCUUUCACAAUAACACCCUGCUUUUUUUUUUUUGGGGGGGGGGCAACUUUAUUUACAAAAAUUUUGCUUUGAUUCCAUAAAUUGAAUGAAAAAUAUAGAAUAAUCAUUAGAAUUUAGUGAUUUUUCUGUUUGAAGCAAUUAAGGACACUGUAUCAUUAGCAAGAAAUGAUACUAAUGGAGUCAAGAAAGAAGAAUUAUUACGUCACUCCUGAACUUUUAAAAGUAAUACCAGAAACUGAAAAUUGAUUUACAAAAUUUUUAAUCGUAGUCAUUUUAUCUAAAUAAAAAGUAAUGCUUCAUGGAGUGUUACAUAAAUGCACCCUCUGCAACUGCACUUCUUAAAUUGUUCCUUUUGGUUUUAGUUUUUAUUUUUGUUUUGUUUUGGUCAAUAAUAACUUUAUUCACACCUAACUGCUGAUUUCUCAAAUUUUCCCCUAACUCUAUCUUUUUUUUGGUCUGUUUGUUUUUUUGAGUCGGAGUCUCGCUCUGUCACCCAGGCUGGAGCGCGGUGGUGCAAUCUCCAUUCAUGGUAACCUCUGCCUCCCGGGUUCAAGCAAUUCUCCUGCCUCAGCCUCGUGAGUAGCUGCGAUUACAGGUGCACAUCACCAUGCCCAGCUAAUUUUUGUAUUUUUUAGUAGAGACAGGGUUUCAUCAUGGUGGCAGGCUGGUCUUGAACUCCU
rnacentral:lncRNA from 1 species